rnacentral:rRNA from 1 species
GGGGGCCCGCAAGCGGUGGAGCAUGUGGUUCAAUUCGGCGCAACGCGAAGAACCUUACCUGGGCUCGAACGGCUUAAGAUCAUCCUUGGAAACAGGGACUUCCCGCAAGGGACUUGAGUCGAGGUGCUGCAUGGCUGUCGUCAGCUCGUGUCGUGAGAUGUUGGGUUAAGUCCCGCAACGAGCGCAACCCUUGUCCUGUGUUGCCACUCCCCCUAAAAGGAAGCACUCUCAGGAGACCGCCAGCGAUAAGCUGGAGGAAGGUGGGGAUGAUGUCAAGUCAUCAUGGCCUUUAUGUCCAGGGCUACACACGUGCUACAAUGGACGGUACAAAGCGCUGCUAACCCGCGAGGGGGAGCCAAUCGCAAAAAACCGUUCUCAGUUCGAGAUCGCAGGCUGCAACCCGCCUGCGUGAAGCUGGAAUCGCUAGUAAUGGCGUAUCAGAACGACGCCGUGAAUACGUUCCCGGGCCUUGUACACACC